rnacentral:rRNA from 1 species
AACGAACGCUGGCGGCAUGCCUAACACAUGCCAGUCGAACGAUACCUUCGGGCCGAUUGGCGCAUGGCUGCGUAAUGCGUGGGAACCUGCCCUUAGGUUGGGAAUAACCCCCCGAAAGGGGUGCUAAUACCGGAUAAUUUCUUCGUACCAAAGAUUUAUCGCCUUUGGAUGGGCCCGCGUGGGAUUAGCUAGUUGGUAGGGUAAAAGCCUACCAAGGCGACGAUCCAUAGCUGGUCUGAGAGGAUGAUCAGCCACACUGGGACUGAGACACGGCCCAGACUCCUACGGGAGGGAGGAGUGGGGAAUAUUGGAAAAUGGGCGAAAGCCUGAUCCAGCAAUGCCGCGUGAGUGAUGAAGGCCUUAGGGUUGUAAAGAUCUUUUACCCGGGAGGAUAAUGACAGUACCGGGAGAAUAAGCUCCGGCUAACUCCGUG